rnacentral:lncRNA from 1 species
UCAUCUUCUUGACAAAUGUCCCCGGAGAAAUUAAAAUCGAGAAGCACCCUGAAGUGUGGUAUAACAAAGUGAUCCAUCUAUCUUCUAAUAUGAAACUUCUGAUUCGAGCAUUAAAAAAAAAAAAUAGAUAAUUUUUUCCUUAAAUUGUAGUAUCUUUAAACACAAAUUUAAAGUAGAGUGGAGGGGGAAAUAGGUUAGAUUAGAAGUUAGAAUUGUACACAUGAGUUGGGUAGAGUAGAGUUUAGGUGAGUAACUCCAAUUCCAAUAAAUAAAUGUAGAAUUAGUUGUUACAAUGUGGACAAUAA